GCCCGGGAAAUGAAGAAAGACAAGGGAAGCUCUGAGACCUGCGUUGACCGCACGGGAACUUGCGUGCACCACAGCAUUGCCUGAGCCAGUUGUGCAGAGUCCAGCCCGACGGAGCGUUGGGGCGCUGGAGAUGGAACCAGAGUCUUUCACACGUAAGGCAAGAGAGAGCACUGCACCACGCAGUUUCACCCCAGCCCUCUUCCUGCUGUGUUUGGAGGCCCAGCUCAGAGAGUGGUCCAGGGUAGCAAAGCACUCACUCUGUAGCCCAGGCAGCCUUCAAACCUGCGACCCUCUGGGACCCCGAGUCUGAACCACCCGGUUUUAAUAUCUCCCACUUUCUUUUAACUGUUAUGUAACCUCCCUCUAGUGAAGUACAUCCGUCUUUUCAACGA